GACAGAGGGUGCAAACGUUGCUCGGAAUCACUGGGCGUAAAGGGCGUGUAGGCGGGAAGGAAAGUCAGAUGUGAAAUCCCUGGGCUCAACCCAGGAACUGCAUUUGAAACUCCCUUUCUUGAGUGUCGGAGAGGAAAGCGGAAUUCCUGGUGUAGAGGUGAAAUUCGUAGAUAUCAGGAGGAACACCGGUGGCGAAGGCGGCUUUCUGGACGACAACUGACGCUGAGACGCGAAAGCGUGGGGAGCAAACAGG
rnacentral:rRNA from 1 species